rnacentral:tRNA from 2 species
ACUUGAAUAGCUUAAAUUUAAAGUAUAAUAUUGAAGAUAUUAGGAUAAGUAUAUACUUUUCAGGUA